rnacentral:rRNA from 1 species
AACGAACGCUGGCGGCAGGCCUAACACAUGCAAGUCGAACGCCCCGCAAGGGGAGUGGCGCACGGGUGAGUAACGCGUGGGAAUAUGCCCUUCGGUUCGGAAUAACACAGGGAAACUUGUGCUAAUACCGGAUACGAUCUACGGAUGAAAGAUUUAUCGCCGAGGGAGUAGCCCGCGUAGGAUUAGCUAGUUGGUGAGGUAACGGCUCACCAAGGCGACGAUCCUUAGCUGGUCUGAGAGGAUGAUCAGCCACACUGGGACUGAGACACGGCCCAGACUCCUACGGGAGGCAGCAGUGGGGAAUAUUGGACAAUGGGCGAAAGCCUGAUCCAGCCAUGCCGCGUGAGUGAUGAAGGCCUUAGGGUUGUAAAGCUCUUUCGCCAGGGAAGAUAAUGACGGUACCUGGAAAAGAAGCCUCGGCUAACUCCGUGCCAGCCGCCGCUGUAA